CCUACGGGAGGCAGCAGUAGGGCAUCUUCCACAAUGGGCGAAAGCCUGAUGGAGCACCGCCGCGUGGGUGAAGAAGGUCUUCGGAUCGUAAAACCCUGUUGUUAGAGAAGAAAGUGCGUGAGAGUAACUGUUCACGUUUCGACGGUAUCUAACCAGAAAGCCACGGCUAACUACGUGCCAUCAGCCGCGGUAAUACGUAGGUGGCAAGCGUUAUCCGGAUUUAUUGGGCGUAAAGGGUACGCCGGCGGUCGUUUAAGUCUGAUGGGAAAGCCUUCGGCUUAACCGGAGUAGUGCAUUGGAAACUGGGAGACUUGAGUGCAGAAGAGGAGAGUGGAACUCCAUGUGUAGCGGUGAAAUGCGGAGAUAUAUGGAAGAACACCAGUGGCGAAAGCGGCUCUCUGGUCUGUAACUGACGCUGAGGUUCGAAAGCGUGGGUAGCAAACAGGAUUAGAUACCCUGGUAGUC
rnacentral:rRNA from 1 species